rnacentral:rRNA from 1 species
AUGGGAGAGCAGAAGGGGAAUAUUCUGAUGGGGAAGUACGAGAUGGGGAAGAUGCUCGGGCAAGGGACCUUUGCCAAGGUCUACCAUGCCCGUAACAUCGAGACCUCGCAGAGUGUUGCCAUCAAGGUGACCGACAAGGAGAAGGUUCUGAAGGGCGGGCUCACGGAUCAGAUCAAGCGCGAGAUAUCUGUGAUGAAGCUGGUGAAGCACCCAAACAUUGUUCAGAUGUAUGAGGUCAUGGCAACCAAAACAAAGAUUUAUUUUGUGUUGGAGCAUGUGAAGGGUGGAGAGCUGUUCAACAAGGUUCAGAGGGGAAGGCUCAAGGAAGAUGCUGCAAGGAAGUACUUCCAGCAGCUGAUCUGCGCGGUUGACUUUUGUCACAGCAGGGGUGUCUAUCACCGUGAUUUGAAGCCGGAGAACCUUCUUCUUGAUGAGAACAGUAACCUGAAAGUUUCAGACUUCGGUCUGAGUACCAUUUCUGAGUGCAGAAGACUUGACGGGUUGCUCCACACAUCCUGCGGCACGCCUGCUUAUGUUGCCCCUGAAGUGAUCAAUAGGAAAGGCUAUGACGGCGCUAAGGCUGACAUCUGGUCUUGUGGGGUGAUCCUCUUUGUGCUUUUGGCUGGGUAUCUCCCAUUCCAAGAAGCAAAAAAGCUCGCCAACUUGAAUGCUUUCGAUAUAAUCUCCCUCUCAACCGGACUCGACCUCUCUGGUAUGUUUGAGGACAAUGACAAGAAGAGGGAGUCCAAGUUCACAUCCACCAACUCGGCUUCGACGAUCGUGUCAAAGAUCGAGGACAUCGCAAAGUGCAUGCGACUGAAGCUCGUCAAGAAAGAUGGUGGCAUGUUGAGGAUGGAAAGCUUCAAGGCUGGAAGGAAAGGUGUGAUGUCCAUUGAUGCUGAGAUAUUCGAGGUCACCCCUGACUUCCAUCUCGUGGAGUUGAAGAAGACAAACGGUGAUACUCUGGAGUACCAGAAGGUCUUGAACCAGGAGAUGAGGCCGGCGCUGAAGGACAUAGUCUGGGCGUGGCAAGGCGAGCAGCAGCCGCAGCCGCAGCAGCAACCAUGUUGA